rnacentral:rRNA from 1 species
CGUGCAGGAUGAAGGCCUUCGGGUUGUAAACUGCUUUUGUACGGAACGAAAAGGUUUGGCCUAAUAAGCUGAGCUCAUGACGGUACCGUAAGAAUAAGCACCGGCUAACUACGUGCCAGCAGCCGCGGUAAUACGUAGGGUGCGAGCGUUAAUCGGAAUUACUGGGCGUAAAGCGUGCGCAGGCGGUUAUGUAAGACAGAUGUGAAAUCCCCGGGCUCAACCUGGGAACUGCAUUAGUGACUGCAUAGCUGGAGUACGGCAGAGGGGGAUGGAAUUCCGCGUGUAGCAGUGAAAUGCGUAGAUAUGCGGAGGAACACCGAUGGCGAAGGCAAUCCCCUGGGCCUGUACUGACGCUCAUGCACGAAAGCGUGGGGAGCAAACAGGAUUAGAUACCCUGGUAGUCCACGCCCUAAACGAUGUCAACUGGUUGUUGGGUCUUCACUGACUCAGUAACGAAGCUAA